rnacentral:misc_RNA from 1 species
AAAAAUCUUUUUAAGGUUUUAUGUUAACAUCAUUUAUCCAUGGAUGCUUGACUCCCUAAGUGAAGCAACUUUUAUAGCCGUUAAGGUAAUACAAGACAACAUUGCCUCAGCCGUUAAGGUAUGAAGAUAACAUAUGGUAAGGUUGCUUAGAGAUUCCAUGGGUCAAUUUUAUCGGUGGUCCGUCAAUUUAGGUGUUGUAGUGG